GUUGCUUCUUACUGAUGAACUCCUUCGGUUUCCACUAAAACGAACGAGGGAUGUUCAUGUUUCUGAAGCAUAAAAAAAAAUGUGGCAGUUUAUAACAGCACGAUGAUGAUUCUCAAUCCCGUUUCAUCGUGUUACCUGUCUCCUGCUACAACC
rnacentral:snoRNA from 1 species